GAUUGACGCUGAGGCUCGAAAGCGCGGGUAUCAAACAGGAUUAGAUACCCUGGUAGUCCGCGCCGUAAACGAUGGAUGCUCGUCAUUGGGGCGUUAGUUUCAGUGACCAAGCGAAAGCAUUAAGCAUCCCACCUGGGGAGUACGCCGGCAACGGUGAAACUCAAAGGAAUUGACGGGGGCCCGCACAAGCGGAGGAACAUGUGGUUUAAUUCGAUGAUACGCGAGGAACCUUACCCGGGCUUGAAUUGUGCAGGACGGAAGAGAGAGACCUCUUCCUUCUUCGGACCUGCAUGAAGGUGCUGCAUGGUUGUCGUCAGCUCGUGCCGUGAGGUGUCGGCUUAAGUGCCAUAACGAGCGCAACCCCUUUCGUCAGUUGCCAUCAGGUGAUGCUGGGCACUCUGGCGACACUGCCACCGUAAGGUGCGAGGAAGGUGGGGAUGACGUCAAAUCAGCACGGCCCUUACGUCCGGGGCUACACACGUGUUACAAUGGGUGGUACAGAGAGCCGGCCGUCUGCAAAUGCGGCCCAAUCAUGAAAGCCAUCCUCAGUUCGGAUUGGGGUCUGCAACCCGACCCCAUGAAGCUGGAUCGCUAGUAAUC
rnacentral:rRNA from 1 species